UAGUCAGUGAAUCUGCUGACCUGAAAGUGUUUCUGCAGAAACACUUAAAAAAUUGACAAUAGUAAAGCCAUGCUAUAAGCCUUAAGGACAUUGAAGUUGUUAAGGUCCCUGAAAAUAGCUAUAACA
rnacentral:snoRNA from 1 species